rnacentral:lncRNA from 1 species
UCACUUACCAUUCUGACUUCAAAUUAAAUUAAGCAUUCGCCAAUUCCAUUCUCAAAACAAACCAAUCAUGUAGUUAAAUGUCCAUUCAAUGAAUCUCAUAAAAAAAUGUAUAUUACCUAGACCUUUUAAGAUGCCAGGAGAUCAUUAAGACGAAGAGAGAGAUGAGAAUGACUGAUGAAGAAAGAAAAAAAAGAUAGAAGAUAGUAGAGAAACAGAAAAUGAAAGUGCAGGUUGUUCGCCGCUGUGAAAGACAUCGGUGGCGCUGAGGUGACUGGCGACAGACGAGCUGGUUGGGCUGUUGACUUGAAGGUGAAGAUGGUGGCGUCGAUGCGGAGGAGGAGGUGUUGCGAGCUGGAGGAGAUCUCGAAGGAUGGAGGAGGAGGCGAGAUCUGGUGUAGCAGAGCAACGAAUGCGGUGGGGACUCCUCGGCCUCCGGCGGCCGAGAAUCGAAGUCCGAUGAGUAGUCCAGCGAGUAAUCUCCGCCGCCGGAGGAGAUGAUACUACUGGAGGCAGACGCGGUGGUGGCAGCCUUGUAGUUGCUGCUCUCCGAGAAUCAGAGGACGGCGACGGGGCGGCAGAGAGCUGCUACUGUUGGCCGCCGUCGAAAAACGUGAGGGAGAGGAAAGAGAAAGAGAGUGGAGAGAGAGAGAAGAGAAUGAGAGAUGAGAGAGAGAGAGAGAAUGCAGAGACCUAGAGAGAGAAAGAGAAGAGAGAUAGAAAAAGAGAGAGAAAGAGAGAGUACAGCGAGAGAAAUUUUAAUUUUUGAGGGCAGGGGCAUUUUUGUCUUUUCGCUCAAAAACUGGCCAGAUUUUAAUAUUUU